rnacentral:rRNA from 1 species
GACGAACGCUGGCGGCGUGCUUAACACAUGCAAGUCGAACGGAAAGGCCCUGCUUUUGUGGGGUGCUCGAGUGGCGAACGGGUGAGUAACACGUGAGUAACCUGCCCUUGACUUUGGGAUAACUUCAGGAAACUGGGGCUAAUACCGGAUAUGAGCUCCUGCUGCAUGGUGGGGGUUGGAAAGUUUCGGCGGUUGGGGAUGGACUCGCGGCUUAUCAGCUUGUUGGUGGGGUAGUGGCUUACCAAGGCUUUGACGGGUAGCCGGCCUGAGAGGGUGACCGGCCACAUUGGGACUGAGAUACGGCCCAGACGCCUACGGGAGGCAGCAGGGGGGAAUAUUGCACAAUGGGCGGAAGCCUGAUGCAGCAACGCCGCGUGCGGGAUGACGGCCUUCGGGUUGUAAACCGCUUUCGCCUGUGACGAAGCGUGAGUGACGGUAAUGGGUAAAGAAGCACCGGCUAACUACGUG